AAAGGGAACUCUGGUGACAGCUAGGUAUUCUAAACCUAAGUGCAAGAAAAGUUCAAUUCUUUU
rnacentral:tRNA from 1 species